GAGCGAUGAGGACAACCGCGCUCGAGUGAUGCUGGGCGCAUCACAACCGUCUGAUCAUCGGACGAUGACAGCGCUCCUGGGCUC